UGUACUAGUCUGCAUUCCCACCAGCAAAACACAAGGAUUCCUUUUUGUCCACAUUCUCACCUGCACUUGUUAUUUGUUGAUUUGUGGAUGAUAGCCAUUCUGACAGGUGUGAGAAGUUACCUCAUUGUUGUUUUAAUUUGAAUCUUUCAGAUGAUUUGUUACUUUGACCAUUUUUUUCCAUAUACCUCUUGGCCUUCUGUAUGUCUGCUUUCCAGAAAUGUGUAUUUAGGACC